rnacentral:rRNA from 1 species
AGUCUGAGGCAGCAACGCCGCGUGAGCGAUGAAGGCCUUCGGGUUGUAAAGCUCUUUUCUGGGGGACGAGGAAGGACGGUACCUCAGGAAUAAGUCACGGCUAACUACGUGCCAGCAGCCGCGGUA